rnacentral:rRNA from 1 species
UACGUAGGGGGCGAGCGUUGUCCGGAUUUAUUGGGCGUAAAGAGCUCGUAGGCGGUUCGAUAAGUCGGACGUGAAAUCUCCACGCUCAACGUGGAGGGGCCGUUCGAUACUGCCGGGCUAGAGUCCGGAAGAGGCGAGUGGAAUUCCUGGUGUAGCGGUGGAAUGCGCAGAUAUCAGGAGGAACACCCAUAGCGAAGGCAGCUCGCUGGGACGGUACUGACGCUAAGGCGCGAAAGCGUGGGGAGCGAACAGG